GACCCAGAUAGUGUAGUGGUUUGAAUGAUGGAUGGUGACUCUGGAGACCAGGGUUCAAAUCCCUGCUCAGCCA